AUACGGAGGAUCCAAGCGUUAUCCGGAAUCAUUGGGUUUAAAGGGUCCGUAGGCUGUUUAGUAAGUCAGUGGUGAAAGUUUUCGGCUCAACCGGAAAAUUGCCAUUGAUACUGCAAGACUUGAAUUAUUGUGAAGUGUUUAGAAUGUGUAGUGUAGCGGUGAAAUGCAUAGAUAUUACACAGAAUACCGAUUGCGAAGGCAGAGCACUAACAAUAUAUUGACGCUGAUGGACGAAAGCGUGGGUAGCGAACAGGAUUAGAAACCCUUGUAGUCC
rnacentral:rRNA from 1 species